rnacentral:rRNA from 1 species
GAUCAUGGCUCAGGAUGAACGCUAGCUACAGGCUUAACACAUGCAAGUCGAGGGGAAACGACAUCGAAAGCUUGCUUCCGAUAGGCGUCGACCGGCGCACGGGUGAGUAACGCGUAUCCAACCUGCCCACCACUUGGGGAUAACCUUGCGAAAGUAAGACUAAUACCCAAUGAUAUCUCUAGAAGACAUCUGAAGGAGAUUAAAGAUUCAUCGGUGAUGGAUGGGGAUGCGU